AUGAGGACACUGAGGCCCCAGACCUCUAUGUCAGCUGCCAUAUUAAGGCAGAUGUCAUGUGCUGUGGUGAAGAUGGGAUCCGAACGCCCGGCAGCCUGGAUCCAGAUUUGGAGACUGAGACUGAGGGCUCUGGCGUCAGCGGGAGCUGGGCUGGAAUCGUCCAGAUUCUUACCUAGAAUCUUCCAGAACAUUUCUAAUUCCCCUAAGGCAGAUGGAUGUUCCCUGACCAACCAUGGCCAAGAUCAUAAUUUUUUAAAAGUGAGGCACCUGGGGGGGCACAGUUGGUUAAGUGUCCAACUCUUGGUUUCAGUUCAGGUCCUGAUAUCAGACUCUUGAGAUCAAGCUCCACCUUGAGACUGUCUCUGUGCUCAGCAGGGAGUCUGCUUGGGAUUCUCUCUCCCUCUCCCUCUGCCUCCCACCCCCACUGGGCUUUCACUCAUUCUCUCUCUCUUUCUUAAAUAAGUCUUUUUUUUUUUUUAAGAAUUUUUUUUUAAAAAGCACGUUGAUAAUCUUCAAACCACUAAGCCAGUUUACACACAAUUAUUCAGAAACAUAAGUGAGAUUAUCUAAUACAACUGUCUUCAAUUUUACUUUUUAUAUAGAAAACAUCAAUUCUAUGUAAGUAAUACAGAUAUACUUUUUUUUUAAACAGUGCAAUAGUAUUCCAGAGUAUAGAUAUACCACAAUGUAUUCAACCAUAAUUCUGAAAGACAUUUAAGUUAUUUCUAAAUAUUUCUGUAUUACCGUAGUGCUUUAGGGAAUAAUCUUACAAAUAUAUUUUUGCAUGUAUGUGCUAGUAAUUUUAUAGGAUGGAUGUUUUCAAGUGGAAUUGCUGGGAUCUAAAAUACACAUACUUCAUAUUUUGAUAGAUAUGUGAGUGUGCUCAUUUCUCCACACCUACUCCAUUAUUGAAUACCAUCCGCUUUUUAGUUUAGUAAAUCUGUUGGACAAAAAGUAGUUUCCUCACGUGUUUUAAUUUUCAUUGUUAUUAGUGAGCUUAAGCUUUCUUCAUCAUUUACUGGCCAUUUGUAAUAUUUCUUUCUGAACUAUUUGACCAUAUAUCUAGCCUAUUUUACUAUUGGAUUGCUGUUAUUUUUUUAUUGGUUUGCAACAACUCUUUAUAUGUCCCCCCCCUCCCCCUCAGUGAGGUUUGUUAAACAAAACAAGCUGAAGUCCCAGGAGCAGGUCUCUUUGGAAGGGCAAAGCUUCUUAAGAAGCUCCAGGGGAGGUAUCCCUGGGUGGCUCAGCGGUUUAGCGCCUGCCUUUGGCCCAGGGCAUGAUCCUGGAGUCCCGGGAUCAAGUCCCACGUCGGGCUCCCUGCAUGGAGCCUGCUUCUCCCUCCUCCUGUGUCUCUGCCCCUCUCUCUCUCUAUGUCUAAAAUAAAUAAAUAAAUAAAUAAAUAAAUAAAUAAAUA
rnacentral:lncRNA from 12 species